rnacentral:rRNA from 1 species
CACGUAGGGUGCGAGCGUUGUCCGGAAUUAUUGGGCGUAAAGGGCUCGUAGGCGGUGUGUCGCGUCGGCCGUGAAAACCUGCAGCUUAACUGUGGGCGUGCGGUCGAUACGGGCAUCACUGGAGUUCGGCAGGGGAGACUGGAAUUCCUGGUGUAGCGGUGAAAUGCGCAGAUAUCAGGAGGAACACCGGUGGCGAAGGCGGGUCUCUGGGCCGAUACUGACGCUGAGGAGCGAAAGCGUGGGGAGCGAACAGG